rnacentral:rRNA from 1 species
AAGACUAGGAAUAGCUGUACUUUGUGUAUAAAAAGAACUUUUCGUCUAAGUGAAAAGACUUAGAUAACAAAGGAAGACGAAAAGACCCCGCGGAACUUUACCUUUUCUUAAACUUCUGUCUACAAACUUAAAGGUUUAAUAG